rnacentral:rRNA from 1 species
CCAACGGGGGGAUGCCUUAGUCACGGCGAGUGAAGCGGUAAAAGCUCAAAUUUGAAAUCUGGUACUUUCAGUGCCCGAGUUGUAAUUUGUAGAAUUUGUCUUUGAUUAGGUCCUUGUCUAUGUUCCUUGGAACAGGACGUCAUAGAGGGUGAGAAUCCCGUUUGGCGAGGAUACCUUUUCUCUGUAAGACUUUUUCGAAGAGUCGAGUUGUUUGGGAAUGCAGCUCAAAGUGGGUGGUAAAUUCCAUCUAAAGCUAAAUAUUGGCGAGAGACCGAUAGCGAACAAGUACAGUGAUGGAAAGAUGAAAAGAACUUUGAAAAGAGAGUGAAAAAGUACGUGAAAUUGUUGAAAGGGAAGGGCAUUUGAUCAGACAUGGUGUUUUUUGCAUGCACUCGCCUCUCGUGGGCUUGGGCCUCUCAAAAAUUUCACUGGGCCAACAUCAAUUCUGGCAGCAGGAUAAAUCAUUAAGAAUGUAGCUACUUCGGUAGUGUUAUAGCUUUUUGGAAUACUGUUAGCCGGGAUUGAGGACUGCGCUUCGGCAAGGAUGUUGGCAUAAUGGUUAAAUGCCGCCGUCUGAAAACCGGGGAAAAAAAAAAAUGUUAAAAAAAGGGAGUAUUAAAAAAAUAUUGGGUUGAGGGAUGUAAUGGAAUCGGGGGUCGCGGCAUGUUAUUCGG